rnacentral:rRNA from 1 species
AUUGAACGCUGGCGGCAUGCUUUACACAUGCAAGUCGAACGGCAGCACGGGGGCAACCCUGGUGGCGAGUGGCGAACGGGUGAGUAAUAUAUCGGAACGUACUCGGAAAUGGGGGAUAACGUAGCGAAAGUUACGCUAAUACCGCAUAUGCCCUAAGGGGGAAAGCGGGGGAUUCGCAAGAACCUCGCGUUUUCGGAGCGGCCGAUAUCGGAUUAGCUAGUAGGUGAGGUAAAGGCUCACCUAGGCGACGAUCCGUAGCUGGUCUGAGAGGACGACCAGCCACACUGGAACUGAGACACGGUCCAGACUCCUACGGAGGCAGCAGUGGGGAAUUUUGGACAAUGGGCGCAAGCCUGAUCCAGCCAUGCCGCGUGAGUGAAGAAGGCC